UCCUCCUCUCCGUCGCUGUAUACGGCGUCUUGUGUAUCCCCUGUGGCGAGCACCUGGCAGACGCCGCCGGUGACUGGUAUUGCAUCCCUACCGACAAAAGAAGUAAACCUUCCGGCUUCUUGGGGUUGGAACAGAUUUCAACAAAACAAGGCAACUCAUCCGCACGUGGCCGACCGGAGAGACAAACCUGUUCAGCACGUAUCAAUGGUCAAUGUUAUGUUCGCUCAGCUUGGCUCCGUGCGAGGCAAUGUUUUUUUUUUUCGCACAGAGGGUAGCAUUCCUCUUACUGUCAAACAGAACCGGUCUCCUGCAUGGCAAUGCGACGCACUGAUAAGGCUAUGAUGCCUAUAAGAGGCGCUAGUUUACAAGCCGCUUCAAGAAACUCGCAGACGAGCCCAGCCGACGCAAAAGGACCGAGCCACAGCAAGCCGCACCGACAUGAACUGCAACGCCGCAACAUCCCUGACCAUUCUGCUGCUCCUGUGCGCGGUGUCCGCACCGGUGCUGGGCCGAUGCCCUCCCACGGCGGGACAGGGUAGCACCUGCACCGUCUCCAGGUGCACUCCGAGGCAGUGCGCCCUCAGGGGUCUUGAGUGCUGUCCCAAGCCCUGCGGAGGGACCUGGUGUGUCAGAGGAGUACGAGGCUAGUUCAAGUUCGAGAAUAUGAUCCACUUCGUGCUUCUGGAGGUGGCACGCUGUCCUCCCUGAAGAAAGGUGUCGAGUUGGCUGUGACCCCGCUGUUCGGUUUAAUAAAAGACUCCCAAUUUCUGCACAA